UUACAUUUACAAUUUUACAUUUUAGACUUUUAGUUACCUACAGUACUUACCUUUCCCAUUUCCCCCACCCGUUCAAACUUCAGAAUUCCUAACCCCUUCCCUUCCCUCUUCCUUUUUUUUCCCCCAAAUCGAAAACCCCACCUCCACCUCCACCGAUCCACCAUCCCACCUCCGGUGUACGGUCCUCGACAACUCCACCUCCAGGCUCCAGUUCCACGACGCUAGCGUUGUUGUUCUCUACUUAUCUUCACUUUGAUUCUUCUGCAACUUCCGAAGGUAUUCUUUUUUAUGCUUUAUGUUUUAUGCUGUCCAAAGAUUUGUUUUU
rnacentral:lncRNA from 1 species